rnacentral:lncRNA from 1 species
UCUAAAGAUCUUGGCUACAGAAAAAAAUUCAAAAUAUUCAAACAGGACAGGAAUGACAUCAAAAAUGUUUUCACCUGUGACUCUCCUGUGCUAUGCAAGUCAAAGAAUGUAUUAGCUACUGGGUACUGAGGCAGGAGCCAACCAGAAUGGCCUUGCAUCUCUCUGCUUACACCGACAUUCAACACUGGCAAUAUUCGCUGGGCUUGGAGAGCAAGAUUAACAACUAGCAAUCUAUCAUCUUAUAAACUGGCAGUUCCACACAACUGACUCUUUCCCAUUAGCUUCUCCAACACGAGAGGUGCUCCACAGACGGGGAACAAUGCACAUCUCUUGCCAUUGUUAGCAGCUUUUCAUCUUGUUGCAGUGGAGGCUGGGAGAGGCUGAAGAGUUAAUUUUAAUAAGACCAAUCAGCUCAUCUUGACAAUGGAGGGGAAGGAAAGGGGACAGGUAGAUGACUGUAUGUUUUGACAUUGGACCAUUAACAUGCAAAUCACAUGCAAAAUCAUAUGCUAACAACUUUGAGCCUUUGUUUGUGGUUGGACACUUUUCUCCCCCAAACGGACUAAAGCUCUGAUGCAAUUCUACACGGGAAGGCACUUUGUUAGACAUCUCAUGGGCUCAAAGACAAAUAGGAGAUGGUCUCUGAACAGUUGUCCUGACCUGUUUGGGAGAGCCAGGAUGCCUUUUGAUCUCACCUCAUUGCCUGUUCCUUCAAAAGAGAGCGUGAAGUGUGGCAGAGAACAGGAGUCUACAUAAGGCCCAGUGAUUAGGACGAAUGAGAGUGUAGGACAGCCUACACAGACAGCGUCCUUCAUGUCACCCAGAGACUGCUGCAGAGCUCCCAGGGACGAGCCGCAUUAAUUAUGGACUAAUGACGCAUUUGCAUGCACAUUUUUAAAAGCAGUAGUGAA